rnacentral:rRNA from 1 species
GACGAACGCUGGCGGCGUGCUUAACACAUGCAAGUCGAACGGAAAGGCCCUGCUUGCCGGGUACUCGAGUGGCGAACGGGUGAGUAACACGUGGGUGAUCUGCCCUGCACUUCGGGAUAAGCCUGGGAAACUGGGUCUAAUACCGGAUAGGAGCCAUUUUUAGUGUGAUGGUUGGAAAGUUUUUUCGGUGUAGGAUGAGCUCGCGGCCUAUCAGCUUGUUGGUGGGGUGAUGGCCUACCAAGGCGGCGACGGGUAGCCGGCCUGAGAGGGUGGACGGCCACAUUGGGACUGAGAUACGGCCCAGACUCCUACGGGAGGCAGCAGUGGGGAAUAUUGCACAAUGGGCGCAAGCCUGAUGCAGCGACGCCGCGUGGGGGAUGACGGCCUUCGGGCUGUAAACUCCUUUCGCUAGGGACGAAGCUUUUUGUGACGGUACCUAGAUAAGAAGCACCGGCUAACUACGUG